rnacentral:rRNA from 1 species
AACGAACGCUGGCGGCAGGCCUAACACAUGCAAGUCGAGCGCGCCCUUCGGGGUGAGCGGCGGACGGGUGAGUAACGCGUGGGAACGUGCCUUUUUCUACGGAAUAGCCUCGGGAAACUGAGAGUAAUACCGUAUACGCCCUUUGGGGGAAAGAUUUAUCGGAAAAGGAUCGGCCCGCGUUGGAUUAGGUAGUUGGUGGGGUAAUGGCCUACCAAGCCGACGAUCCAUAGCUGGUUUGAGAGGAUGAUCAGCCACACUGGGACUGAGACACGGCCCAGACUCCUACGGGAGGCAGCAGUGGGGAAUCUUAGACAAUGGGGGCAACCCUGAUCUAGCCAUGCCGCGUGAGUGAUGAAGGCCUUAGGGUUGUAAAGCUCUUUCAGCUGGGAAGAUAAUGACGGUACCAGCAGAAGAAGCCCCGGCUAACUCCGUG